rfam:Felis catus isolate Cinnamon breed Abyssinian chromosome B1, whole genome shotgun sequence.
GCCUGGGUGGCUCAGUUGGUUGAGCAUCCGACUUCAGGUCAGGUCAUGAUCUCACAGUCCGUGAGUUCGAGCCCCACAUCAGGCU